rnacentral:rRNA from 1 species
UACGUAGGGCGCAAGCGUUAUCCGGAAUUAUUGGGCGUAAAGAGCUCGUAGGCGGCUUGUCGCGUCGACUGUGAAAUCCCGCGGCUCAACUGCGGGUCUGCAGUCGAUACGGGCAGGCUGGAGUUCGGUAGGGGAGACUGGAAUUCCUGGUGUAGCGGUGAAAUGCGCAGAUAUCAGGAGGAACACCGGUGGCGAAGGCGGCCUGCUGGGCAGUGGGGGGAGACCCCUUCAAGCUGACACUGAGGCGCGACAGCGUGGGGAGCAAACAGG